rnacentral:lncRNA from 10 species
AGGGAAACUUGGAAACACGAAAGAGCCCUUCCCCUUUCAAUUCAAGGUGGAGACUGGACCUCAGAAGAGGGAGUGGGUGCCCCGAGAACUCACAGCUAGCGGACAGUGGAAAGGGCAGGAGCCGGACCAAGGCUCCGGCAUGACGGGUGACUUCUUCCGAGUCUGGCUUCUGCAGCACACAGGGCUUCGCCAGCACCCAGCUCCUGCAGCAUGGGCAGCUCCUGUGACAGCAGGCGCCCGCAGCCUGCAAAGCGUCUCCAGUGCCGCCGCCUCAGUGAACCUCAACCAGCGGCACCUAGCAGCUUUCUCUGCCACCCUCUUCAGGUAGUUCUGUAGCAGCGCGUUUCUCAUGAGACACUUCCCUGUGAGCAGCUUUUUCUACCCUUGAGGAUGGAUUUCCAGCAAAUUCUGCCCAUGUGGUACCACAGCCACUUCUCUGCCAUUCAGUGAAACUGCCGUUGUGCCCUCUUCAAGGUCUGGAUCUAAGCCCAGGGACCAGGAAACCUCUUGCUUGAGUGCUGGAACUCAGGCCAGAAGGUAUGGCUGCUGCUAUGUGCUGUGACCAGAGAAUCAGAGUUCUCUUUACUUCUUACCAGCCAACCUCUUGAAAAUGCCUUUUUGUUUUUUGUUUUUUUUUGAGACGGAGUCUCGCUCUGUUGCCCAGGCAGUGCAGUGGCUCACUGCAACCUCCGCCUCCUGAGUUCAAGUGAUUCUCCUGCCUCAGCCUCACAAGUAGGUGGGAUUACAGGCAUGUGCCACCACGCCCAGCUAAUUUUGUAUUUUUAGUAGUGACGGGGUUUCUCCAUGUUGGUCAGGUUGGUCUCAAACUCUCGACCUCAGGUGAUCCACCUGUCUCAGCCUCCCAAAGUGCUGGGAUUACAGACGUUAGCCAGAGCGCCCAGUCUAAG